CUACAGUUCUUACCCGAAAAUGUUGAAUACAAUGGAAGGAGAAAGCUAUGGGAGCUCCAUCAUACGAGAUCAGUGCGGGACAUUCUCCACGCUCAUGCUAAGCAUACGCGACAUGGGGGAUAAAGACAAGCUAUUCACCUUCCUAGAAAGGUUAAAACCUUAUGCACGUGUGGAGCUACAAAGACAAAGGGUAGAUAUCCUU
rnacentral:lncRNA from 1 species